GAUGAACGCUGGCGGCGUGCCUAAUACAUGCAAGUCGAGCGAACAGACGAGGAGCUUGCUCCUCUGACGUUAGCGGCGGACGGGUGAGUAACACGUGGAUAACCUACCUAUAAGACUGGGAUAACUUCGGGAAACCGGAGCUAAUACCGGAUAAUAUAUUGAACCGCAUGGUUCAAUAGUGAAAGACGGUUUUGCUGUCACUUAUAGAUGGAUCCGCGCCGCAUUAGCUAGUUGGUACGGUAACGGCUUACCAAGGCGACGAUGCGUAGCCGACCUGAGAGGGUGAUCGGCCACACGGGAACUGAGACACGGUCCAGACGCCUACGGGAGGCAGCAGUAGGGAAUCUUCCGCAAUGGGCGAAAGCCUGACGGAGCAACGCCGCGUGAGUGAUGAAGGUCUUCGGAUCGUAAAACUCUGUUAUGAGGGAAGAACAAAUGUGUAAGUAACUAUGCACGUCUUGACGGUACCUAAUCAGAAAGCCACGGCUAACUACGUG
rnacentral:rRNA from 1 species